UAGUAGUAUGUUUUGUGAAGAGAGAGAGAGGGCAAGAUAUGUGGCAUAUUUGUGAUGCUUCCCCCUUGGAGGCUUGACGGGCAUGUACACUGACAGCGAGCUGGCUAAACAGGGGUCAUUUGCAUGUCUACGCUUCAGCUACCAGCGAGCCGAGUGAUGCAUGCACUGCAAACGCCAGUCGUUUGAAGCAGGCUGCAUAAUCUUGAACUUGAAGGCUAUUUAUGAACUAUCCGUGGAGCAUGGGCAUGUCUUUCCUCGAAACGAACAACAUUCUUUCCAUUUUCUCCCAUCCCGUCAUUUCAAGCAUUUUCCUGAUUUGUCGUCUCUAUGAAUUGGAAUUAUAAUGCUGUGUGCGAUCAGUGGAAAGUAUCUUCUACAGCAUAUCUCUGUAUGUUCUUCUAAUAAGAUGGCCAGACAGAGAAAAUGAUGAUUAAGAACUUGAGCUUGGUGCUUUUUCGUUGUCCCUCAUCGCAUUCUCAGCUUUCGAAAUAGAGCUGCACCACAAGGAAACAUCAUUUGACCACUGUGUUUGUCACUGCCUCCUCCUCCUCUAUGUGAUUUAUUCAAGCGGAACAGGAUAGCAGCUACUGCUGCUUUUACAGAAUCGUGCAUCUUGUGAAUAAGGAGAUCAGAUAAGCGUGAAAUUUUUCUCACUGAUGUGUGUGCUCGAAUUUCUGAAUCUUUGAGUAUCUGUGCACUCAGAAAAACAAGGAAGGCCUAUCCAUCAUAGGAAAGUUAAUAUAAAUACUCGGCAUUCAGCUCAGUGAUGAUAAUGCCCACGUUUCUUCAAACUGGAAAGUAUCCAUCCAUUGUAUGACCAUGGCAUCAAAGGAGUAUCAGUUGAUUUGAUACAUGUACCUAUAUGGUGCUGAAUACCUGAAUUUUUUAUCAUUUGAGCGCUACAUUUGUAUGUUAAAAGGUCUGACACAGCGGAUACUCUAAGCGAUACGUCUGGUGACAUCACAGACAUGGACGCGGAACCCGACAGCGACGUGGAGCAGGACUUGGACCAAAUGCUUGGAACAUGGCUUGGGGAACUGGAAACAAUGACCAAGUCGAUUGAUGCUGAUUUAGGAGAUUCAUGUCAGAGCAAACCUGCCCCUCUCCCCCAACACAAUCAACACUUGGAACAUUAGACAACUUCAGCUUUUCGGCUUUCCAGCUAGCUCGUAAGUUUUUAAUAUACCCUUCGCAUUAAACAAGGAAAUCUGUAAUUUGCUAUACUUCUCUGUAUAAUAAUGAAAAUUUGCUACUAUUUUCAUACUUUUUUGUGUGUUUAAAUUUUUUUCUUCUGAUUAUUACUGGCAUACCUUGACCCUUACCAGCCUUUAAUAGCUUGCUGUACCCUUCAUAGUUUACACUAAAUGGGAAGUCAGUGACACUUCUCAUCAGAAUCAUUAUAAUUAUUUCCAUACUUUUAUUCAUAGUUUUUUUAAACUUGUAAUAAUGGAUCCCUUCUAUUUCUCUUCUUCCUAGCCUCUCUGCUAGCUUAAACUCAUACCAUUCAUUGUUAAUAUUAAAUAGGGAAAUGUGUACCGGUACACUAAUCACUCUCUUCUAUAUUAAUAGCUCAAACUUUCCCUCAUUUCCAAUAUAUUUUUAUGCUCAUCAUUCUCUUUUCUACUAAUGACAGGUGGUUUAUUCUUGAUUUUCAAUCUUUACCUUGAAGCAUAUUCCAAAAAAGAACCUCUUUGCGUUAAUUGAUUACAGGAAUGUCACUUACGGUUUGAGUAUGUUCAUAUAGCAAGCUCCCCUGCCAGCAAAACCAAUUUUCAUGUUUUUCAAAUUAUAAAAAAAAAUGUCACAGAGCAUAAUUCAAUUUCCUACUCAUUUUUAUGCUUCAAUACAAGUUUCCUUUGCUCAUUUGCUAUUAAACAUCUGUGUAAAGUAACAUUUCAAGAUAUCUUCUUAAUUUCAUCCAUCCGUGCUUCUAAUCUUCCAUUUUAAUCUUCUCUCCUUUCUUCAUAACAGUAAUAUUAAUUUUGAUCUGAAAUGUCUUAUUUCAACAUACACGUUUAUUAAUAAUUCAGUUGAUUGAAAGAAUGUCCAUCAUUCUGUCAUACUGUAACAAUCAUCUUUUAUCUUUCAUUCUCUGAUAUACAGGAUAUUUGUUUUAAAUUGAUACUUGAAAUAGAAUAAAAAAUGAAUUCCAAGAAACUCUUUCCUCAUACAAAAUAUUAUCCUAUAAAACUUUUGGAUUGGAUACUUGCAGAAUUAUAAAGAAGACUAAUAUUCACAUGCAUGAUGCAUGAUCCAGGUUUACUCUAGAUAGGAGAUUUCAUACCUGCCUGAUUACAAAAUUACCCAUCAAAUCCAAGAACGUAAGAUGUUUUCGUGGUUUCAUGACUUUUGCACUGGCGACAAUUGCUCUGUUCUAAUCAAAUAUCGAAGUAAAUUCAUGAGUAUUUUGUGAUGGAGUGGGUAUGAAGGUGCUCUUUUCCUUGUUUUGAAUCUCGAUAUCAAAUUCAUAUAACUUAAAGAUC